AACGAACGCUGGCGGCGUGCCUAACACAUGCAAGUCGAGCGGGAAAGUUCCCUUCGGGGGAUGAGUAUAGCGGCGCACGGGUGAGUAACACGUAGGUAACCUGCCCCCAAGUCUGGAAUAACCCGCCGAAAGGCGGGCUAAUACCUGAUAAGACCACGUCGGCCUCGGGCGACGCGGUAAAAGAUGGCCUCUACAUGUAAGCUAUCGCUAGGGGAUGGGCCUGCGCGCCAUUAGCUAGUUGGUGGGGUAACGGCCUACCAAGGCGAAGAUGGCUAGCUGGUCUGAGAGGAUGAUCAGCCACACUGGGACUGAGACACGGCCCAGACUCCUACGGGAGGCAGCAGUGGGGAAUAUUGCGCAAUGGGGGAAACCCUGACGCAGCGACGCCGCGUGGGUGAUGAAGGCCUUCGGGUCGUAAAGCCCUGUCGGGAGGGACGAACCACCGAUGGAAUAAUACGCCAUCGGCCUGACGGUACCUCCUA
rnacentral:rRNA from 1 species